GAGAGUCAGAAAAAGAGAGAGAGUCAGAAAAAGAGAGAGAGUCAGAAAAAGAGUUGUAUAUUAUCAGUAAUGUAAUACACAUGAGUCUUUACAAAAGGGGAGGUCCCUUUUAUAUACUAAGGGACCUUCCUUGAAAUAAUACAAAAAAGUACAAGAGUUGGUGGCCUCGAUAUUCGAGUGUCAGAGCUUGACGUGAUGUUUGCAGCAAGUCACGUCACUUGGUCCGUUGGUCGACUGAGGCCGACCUUGUUUGGGCUGACCUCAUCAAGGACGCUCACGUGACGGUUGCAGCAAGUCACGUCACUCGGUCCGUUGGUCGACUGAGGCCGACCUCAUCAAGGAAGCUUUCCUUAGCAUGACAUAUACGGAUAAUGAGGAGCCAAAUUUCCCAAUACAGAUAGUCCCUCCAUUUAUUGGGGACGCAGUCGAAGGGCGUUCCUAAUGAACGGACUUACAUACUCGUCGCUUAUAGAAAUUUGUCCGUUCCCGUUGAUGUCCUUGUUAAGAGUCGUACUUGCGUAUGAAGUGGCCGAACCAUUGACAUAUUACUCCUUUUUUAGGAGUUUCCUUUCUAUGUGACGUCAUCGAUCACGUGCGUGAUCAUUACUUAUCUUCCCGAGGCGGUUCAGGUUAUGACGUGACGUUUGGGUUUCCUGCGCUGGUUUUUCCAGAACCACGCCUCUUCGAUUUCCGUGUAUUUUUUCUUAUAAAUAGAGGGAGAGCUGGACUAGGUUUAACUUUCGAACCUUUUCUGAGAGCGUUUUCCCCAUCUUUCUUCUAUCUUUUUCCAGUACCUUGUUUCUCUGAGAUCCUCGUUCUCAGGAACCAAACUCGAAACCCGCAAUACUUUCUCCUUACAAAUUCCAUUAUGGCCGAUCUUUUUCCAGUACCUUUUUUCUCUGAGAUCCUCGUUCUCAGGAAUCGAACUCGAAACCCGCAAUACUUUCUCCUUGCAGGUUCCAUUAUGGCCAAACGUCGUCAUGAAGACGCUAGGACUAAUAAGGUUGCUUUUGUUAGGGCUUCGUCAUCUUCAGACGAUGAGGACGGUGAGGAAGUUUUCGUUCCUCUAUCAACGACUAACUUGCUCCCACGUGAUAUGAGCAAGAGGAGCGAUUUUCUGAAUAAGCGUAAAGACGUCCCUUGGGAGCAUAGUGAGAUGACGCUGCCACACUUGUUUUCUCUCAGGGAGACGUAUGACAUUCCCAAUUACGUUGAUAUGGUUCUCGUGUUGCCCCACUUGGUCUCUCUUAGGGAGAUGCAUGACAUUCCCGAUUAUGCUGAUAUGGCUCCCGCAGGGCUGGAUCAUGCUAUCGCGCCCAGGGCCGGGUACUGUGCUUUUUAUUAAUACGCUUUCCGGGUCGGAUACACCCUUCCAAUUUAUCCCUUAGCGGAGGAGUUGUGUCGCUGGUUUGGAGUAUGUUCGGCCCAGCUUACCACGUAUGCCUUGAAGGUGUGCAGGGUAGUGUCUGUUUAUGCGGCGAAGGCCGAAAGGGAGGUGACCGUUCAUUACCUCUUGCAAAUGUUCAACACGGUCUUUACGAGAGGCUCGAUGCUGCGUUGAGGAGUAGGGGCAAGAAAAGCUUCGUGGCGCAUGUGGAUGACAAGGCCAAUCGUAAGUUAGCAGGUCUUGUUUGCUGUGGCCCUAAGCACUUGGCUAAGGGACCACCGAACGUCCUUUUAUAAAGGUCGCCAUUGACCAUGUAGUACCGGGCGGCUUGUAUGCGAAACUUCUUUGCUUUUUUUUUUAUGGGGGGUAAUACCCCGCUCUGCAAAUAAGAUAUGAACUGGUUGUGCCAGUCCCAGGUCAGGUUUAGGGAAAGUACCUCGGUGUGGUCGAUAGCCGAGCGUAGGAGUGUGACCACACUUUCUUUGUUGAUAUUUUUGGUGGCGACAGCCAGCUUUUCCAGGCCUUUCGCUUCGAUAUUCCGUGCUCUGGGAAUUUGUUCGAAGCGGCAUUCGUCGAAUAUGGCCAUCGGUCAGUGGAUUUCUGACUGGUACUUCUGUAAUCUCUGCUCUUUGAUUUGGUAAGUCCCGAUAACUUGGUUCACCACAAGCUGGGAGUCGCAGUGGAGGAGAAUUCGGCGGGCUCCAUACUUGAUGGCCAGUUUCAUUCCUGCAAUAACGGCCUCAUACUCGGUCUCGUUGUUAGUUAUUUUCGGGAACCGUAUGGAUUGGCGAAUCGUUUCACCCGUGGGGACCUCGAGUACGAGUUCCAGUCCUGAUCCAGAUGCAUUGGCCGCUUCGUCCGUAUAGAGGACCCAUAGGUCGCUUUCUGAGGACGCGCGUUGUGCUUCGAGUUCUGCCUUUGGCAGGACUUCCACGCUGAAGUCGGCGAUAAAGUCAGCUAGGACUUGCGACUUAAUGGAGGUCCUAGGGAGGUAUGUGAUGUCAUGCUCGCUGAGCUCAACGACCCAUCUGGCGAGUCGCCCUGAGAGUUCGGGUUUGUGUAGGACACUUCUCAGAGGGAAGGUCGUUACUACCCUUAUGGGGUGGCAUUGGAAGUAUGGUCGUAGCUUUCGUGAAGCUACCACGAGUGCUAACGCCAGCCUCUCAAGGUGGGGAUGCCAGGUCUCGGCAUCCACUAAAGUUUUGCUAAUAUAAUAGAUAGGAGAUUGUGUACCUUUAUUUUCGCGUACCAAGACGGCGCUGCCUGCAACUUCUGAUACGGCCAAAGGCCUCUCAAGGUGGGUAUACCGGGUCUCGGCAUCUACUAAAGUUUUGCUAAUAUAAUAGAUAGGAGAUUGUGUACCUUUAUUUUCGCGUACACAGGACGGCGCUGACUGCAACUUCUGAUACGGCCAAAUAUACCAGCAGCGGCUCUCCUGGGUUGGCUUUUACCAGCAGGGGAGGUGAUGACAAGUAUGCCUUACAGCUUUUUAUAGCUUCUACAUACUCUGUAUUCUAGCGCAGUCCCUGGUCUUUCUUCAAUACACCGAAGAAUUUGUGGCACCUAUCGGAGGAGCGCGAGAUGAAUAUGGAGAGGCCGGCUAUUCGACCUUUCAGUUUUUGUACUUGUUUUUUGCUGCUUAGUGUUUCCGGAAUGGCUUCUAUGGCCUUGAUUUUGUCGGGGUUGACUUCGAUCCCUCUCUGUGACACCAGAAAUCCCAGAAAUUUUCCCGAGGCUACUCCGAAAGCGCAUUUUACAGGAUUUAUCUACAUGACGUAUUUCCUUAGUAUUUUGAAGGCUUCUUUCAGGUGGGUUAGGUGAUCUUCCUUUCUUGAUGAUUUGACCAGCAUGUCGUCGAUAUAGACUUCCAUGGUUUUGCCGAGCUGUUCUUUGAACAUCACUGUUACUAGCCUUUGGUAAGUGGCCCUGCGUUCUUGAGGCCGAAGGGCAUUACUUUGUAGCAAUAUGUCCCUUGAUGGGUGAUGAAAGUUGUCUUUUCCUGAUCCUCCUCGGCCAUCAUGAUCUGAUUGAAGCCGGAGUAUGCAUCGAGGAAGCUUAGCAGCUCAUGCCCUGCUGUCGCAUCUAUUAGCUGGUGGAUGUGGGGCAGCGGGAAAGAGUCCUUUGGAAAGGCCUUAUUUAGAUAGGUGAAAUCUACACACAUCCGCCACUUCCCAUUUUUCUUCUUGACCAUUACGACGUUGGUGACCCAUUACGGGUACUUGGACUCCCUGAUGGAUCCAUUGACUAGCAACUUGUCUACUUCUUUGCUCACUACUUCGUAAUGGCGGCGUUUAAUUUUCUUCUCAUCUGCCGCACGGGCGGGUGUAAUGGGUCGACGUUGAGUUUGUGGGAGGCGAUUUCUCACGGAAUUCCUGGCAUAUUUGCUUGAGAAAAAACGAACAAAUCUGCAUGGUUAGAUAAAAAUUUACGGUACAGACCUGGAUUCGGUAGGUCGUGGCCUAUGUAUGCUUUCUUUGCGGGGUCGCAGCUGUCUAUCUGAACGGGGUCGAGGUCUUCGACCGUGGCCUUGCUAGCCUCGACCUCCUCAGGAUCUUUGAUGGCGUUCUCUGUCGGACGGACCUUAGUCCCCGACAAGCUGAUUGCUAUGCUUCUCCACUUGCUCCUUGGAGCUGUUUGGUGCGCGUAUAAUCUUGGGCUAUCUUGUAGCAUUCCUGGGCGGUGCGGGGCUCUCCCCGUAUGCAGUGCACUCCCUAUGGGGUUGGGAAUUUUAUUACUUGAUAGAAGUUGGAUGGGAUGACUCUCAUGGCGUGUAUCCAUGGGUGUCCAAUGAUGGCAUUGUACGCCGUCUCUUGGUUCAUCACAUGGAAAGUUGUUUCCAUCGUAACCCCUCCUGCGAGGACGCGCAGCGUCACCUCGCCUGAGGUUCUCUCCACUGCAUUAUUAAAACCUAUUAUGCAACGUGGAAUUAUUUUAUCUUCGAGUCCCAUGAGUUCAAGGACUCUCGUAUGAAUGAUACAUGUGAUGUUUCCAUCAUCGACCAUGAUCCUUUUGACAUCCGUAUCUAAUAUUCGUAAAGUAAUAACUAAGGCAUCAUAAUGAGGAAAACACAAACCGUCGGCAUCAGACUUAUGGAAGGUGAUACUAUCUUCGAGGUCGUCAUACCGUUCGUAAUCGAUGGUUCGCUUUAACUUGUGUGUAGUGGUGAAUUUGACGUGGUUGAUUGCUGAGUCGUUGCCGCCUCCAAUGAUCAUGUUGAUGGUGCGCAUUGGUGAGGGCGGCCUUGGCGGGCGUGGGAUUGUUCCCGUCCACGCGUGAAGUGCCCCCGUUCCUGGAGGAACUCGCACAACGCGUUUGAUUUUCUGGUGGCAGGGUCGGAUUUUAUCUUGGCUGGCCAUUGCACUUUGUUGCCCAGCUUUUCCAGUGCGUACACUAUUUCUGAAGGAGAAACACAAAAGUUAUGUGUAGCUAAUGAAGGGGGCAUACCUCUGUCGUUCCUUAGUGGAGCGACAUGUCGCUCCAAGGCGUCUGCAUGCCUUGGUGGUGGAUGCGAGGAUCUGAUGUAUGGAUUGUAUGUUUGGUGUCUUUCCCUAUUGAGGCGUGGGGAUUGCUCCCGCCUACCCUCGUUGCGUCGGUUCCUCCGGAUUUCUGGGUGUACCGUCGUCAACCGUCGGGUUAGGCCGUUGAGGUCAUCGUCAUCCCCAUGCACCUUAGUGCAAUAGGCAUUAUGUAUCUCUUCCCAGGUGGUGGGGAGAUAUUACAGCAGAUGGUUGAGUAAUUUUUUGGUUGCCCUUGACCCGUCUCUGCUGAGCCCGUUUUGAAAGGCCACAACUGCCAUGCCUUCGGAUACGUUGGGUAGACUCAUCCUGACUCUGUUUAAUCUAGCUACGAACUCCCUAAGUCCCUCUCCUGGGGUUUGUCGCACGGUGAAGAUGUCGUUAACCCGCGCUUCUGCUUUCCUUGCUCCUGCAUGGGCGGUGGCAAAUUUAUCCGCCAUUUCUUCGAAUGUGGAGAUGCUCUUGGCCAGCAGCUGUGAGUACCAUGUUAGGGCUCCUCCUAUUAGCAUUUCUCCGAACUUCUUCAGAAGCACGGAUGGUACCUGUUCUCUCGACAAGUCGUUGCCUUUGACGGCUGUGACAUAGUGAAUCAAGUGGUCCUCGGGAUUUGUGAUCCCGUCAUAUACCUUCAAGAAGGGAGGCAUCUUGAAGGUUUUCGGGAUGGGGUAUGGUGCUGAUGCUUCCGUGUAGGGUUGUUCAACGAAUCUUCCCACGUCUCGCUUUGGUAAUAGUUUAGGUGCACCCGAGAUUUUAUCCACCCUUUCUUGUUUCGGGAUCUGUGGUCCCGUCAUAUACCUUCAAGUAGGGAGGCAUCUUGAAGUUUUUCGGGAUGGGGUAUGGUGCUGCUCCUUCCGUGUAGGGUUGUUCAACAAAUCUUCCCACGUCUCGCUUUGGUAAUAGUUUACGUGCACCCGGGAUUUUAUCCACCCUUUCUUGGUGCUCCUUCAUCUGGUCGCGAAGCAACCUGUUCUCAUUCGCCAUUUCUUCCAUCUUUUGGAGGAUGGCUGUGAGAGCACCGUCGUUAGCUUGAACAUCGACGGCCACAUUGUUUGUAACUUCAAGCUCAUCCUCGGCCGCGACAUGAUCUGUCGCUGGGGUGUGUUUAUUAUUUGGAGGAUGGCUGUGAGCAUGCCGUCGGCUUGAACAUCGACGGCCACAUUGUUCAUUCUUGUAACUUCAAGAUGAUCUUCGACUGCGACACGAUCUGCUGCUGGGGUGCGUUUAUCACUUAGAGGUGGCCUCUUGACUAGACUGCUAAGAGUGUACGUUAGCCACUCUUCAAGUAACUUUUUUACCUCCGGGGGUGCUCCUUUAGUCGUAAAUGUUAAAACCUCUCUUUCUCAUGGAACAACCAGAUCUUCCGGCGAUGGGGAUGCUCCUUUAGUCGUAGAUGUUGAAGCCUCUUUCUCGUAGAACAACCAGAUAUUCCAGCGAGGAAGGUAGGGUUUCCAUGCCUAUCAAAGUACUGAGGGUUGCGUGUAAGGCAUUUUCUUCAGCAACCGGUUGAGAUUGCGUGUGAGAUAUGUUGUAACCUCUAGGAUAGCUUUCAUUCUUGCAUUGUUUUCAGCCAUUUUAGGUUGUAGAGAGUGGUUUCUCGAAUGAUAUCUAGAAAUAAACUACAGCUCUGAUUCUCGAAGUCCCCACAGACGGCGCCAAAUUGUUUUGCCAAAAAGUUAUUCGAAUACUUAUGUAGCUCUAAAAACAAUUAAAAAGUGAUUUGGGUUAAUCGGAAUCAAGUCUAAUAUGACCUAGAGAUUGUAGGAUAAAAGCAAUACGGUAAGUAGUAGAUUUAGCACAAGAGAGAUAGAGAGAGUCAGAAAGAGAGAGAGAGAGUUGUAUAUUAUCAUUAAUGAAAAUACACAUGAAUUUUUACAAAUGGAAGGUCCGCUUUAUAUACUAAGAGACCUUCCUCGAAAUAAUACAAAGACAGUACAAGAGUUGGUAGGAAGAUUGUAGUAUAAAAGCAAUAAGGUAAAUAGUAGAUUUAGCACAAGAGAGAUAGAGAGAGUCAGAAAGAGAGAGAGUUGUAUAUUAUCAGUAAUGAAAUACACAUGAGUCCUUUACAAAAGGGGAGGUCCCUUUUAUAUACUAAGGGAGAUUCCUUGAAAUAAUACAAAAAAGUACAAGAGUUGGUGGCCUCGAUAUUCGAGUGUCAGAGCCUGACGUGACGUUUGCAGCAAGUCACGUCACUCAGUCCGUUGGUCGACU
rnacentral:lncRNA from 1 species